GACGAACGCUGGCGGCGUGCUUAACACAUGCAAGUCGAACGGAAAGGCCCUGCUUUUGUGUGGUGCUCGAGUGGCGAACGGGUGUGUAACACGUGAGUAACCUGCCCUUGACUUUGGGAUAACUUCAGGAAACUGGGGCUAAUACCGGAUAGGAGCUCCUGCUGCAUGGUGGGGGUUGGAAAGUUUCGGCGGUUGGGGAUGGACUCGCGGCUUAUCAGCUUGUUGGUGGGGUGGUUGCUUACCAAGGCUUUGGCGGGUGGCCGGCCUGAGAGGGUGACCGGCCUCAUUGGGCCUGCGAUACGGCGCAGUCUCCUACGGUGGGCAGCAGUGGGGAAUAUUGCACAGUGGGCGGAAGCCUGAUGCGGCAACGCCGCGUGCGGGAUGACGGCCUUCGGGUUGUAAACCGCUUUCGCCUGUGACGAAGCGGGAGUGACGGUAAUGGGUAAAGAAGCACCGGCUAACUACGUG
rnacentral:rRNA from 1 species